rnacentral:rRNA from 1 species
AUUGAACGCUGGCGGCAGGCCUAACACAUGCAAGUCGAAUGGUAACAGGAAACUGCUUGCUGUUUCGCUGACGAGUGGCGGGCGGGUGAGUAAUGUCUGGGAAACUGCCUGAUGGAGGGGGAUAACUACUGGAAACGGUAGCUAAUACCGCAUAACGUCGCAAGCCCAAAGAGGGGGACCUUCGGGCCUCUUGCCAUCAGAUGUGCCCAGAUGGGAUUAGCUAGUAGGUGGGGUAACGGCUCACCUAGGCGACGAUCCCUAGCUGGUCUGAGAGGAUGACCAGCCACACUGGAACUGAGACACGGUCCAGACUCCUACGGGAGGCAGCAGUGGGGAAUAUUGCACAAUGGGCGCAAGCCUGAUGCAGCCAUGCCGCGUGUAUGAAGAAGGCCUUCGGGUUGUAAAGUACUUUCAGCGGGGAGGAAGGGAGUAAAGUUAAUACCUUUGCUCAUUGACGUUACCCGCAGAAGAAGCACCGGCUAACUCCGUG